rnacentral:rRNA from 1 species
CAGUCGCCGCGGGAAUACGAAGGGUGCAAGCGUUACUCGGAAUUACUGGGCGUAAAGCGUGCGUAGGUGGUGGUUUAAGUCUGCUGUGAAAGCCCUGGGCUCAACCUGGGAAUUGCAGUGGAUACUGGAUCACUAGAGUGUGGUAGAGGGAUGCGGAAUUUCUGGUGUAGCAGUGAAAUGCGUAGAGAUCAGAAGGAACAUCCGUGGCGAAGGCGGCAUCCUGGGCCAACACUGACACUGAGGCACGAAAGCGUGGGGAGCAAACAGGAUUAGAUACCCCCGUAGUCCCUGUCUCUUAUAU